UACGUAAGGGGCAAGCGUUGUUCGGAAUCAUUGGGCGUAAAGGGCGCGUAGGUGGUUCUGUAUGUCUACCGUGAAAGCGUACGGCUCAACCGUAUUUUGUCGGUGGAAACUGCAGGACUUGAGGCUGGGAGGGGCUGGUGGAAUUCCCUGUGUAGCGGUGAAAUGCGUAGAGAUGGGGGAGAACACUCGUGGCGAAGGCGGCCAGCUAGACCAGAUCUGACACUGAGGCGCGACAGCGUGGGGAGCAAACAGG
rnacentral:rRNA from 1 species